rnacentral:rRNA from 1 species
AUUGAACGCUGGCGGCAUGGCUAAAGCAUGCAAGUCGAACGGACCCGCAAGGGUCAGUGGCGAAAGGGUCAGUAAUACGAUCGAACGUACCCUGAGGUGUGGGAUAGCCGCGGGAAACUGCGGGUAAUACCACAUGUGCUCUACGGAGGAAGGCCGCAAGGCGCCUCGGGAGCGGCGAUCGUCCUAUCAGGUAGUUGGCGGGGUAACGG